rnacentral:lncRNA from 1 species
CGGGCCGGCCUCCGGGGGUCGCGGGGAGGGCGCGGCGCGGAGGACCGGCAGGCCCCGCCCCGGGACUGCCGCACCGCGGGGAGGGCCGGCUGCGCACCGAAACUGCCGGGUCCCGGGCGGGCCGCGCCCCGAGCUGGGGCCAGACCUGAGGUCGGAACCGGAGUGGGCUUGGGCACAGAGCGUAUCGACCCUAGGAACCCAGCUGGGCAGAGACCUCGCCCAAGUUCACGCCGGCCCGUUCUGGACUGUGCUCUGGAAGAGGUGGUGCCGGAAUCCCCUACCCCUACUGGAGCUGGACCGUCUGGGGACGGGACCUUGUAGAUGUGGCAGCCCCUGGCUUCACGGCUCAAUAGGGAAGACACUGGAGGAGCUGGGAGACCAAGUGAAGCCUGGCGUUUAAGAGUAAGUCCUUGUUAACUCCCAGCUGGGGCAGUCACUCUGCCUUUGCAACUCUCCUGUAAAUCUUCAGUUUUUUCCUCAAUAAAAUAAGUUUUUAAAAACCCA